CAUAAACUGAAUAUCGUAUUUCAUCAAUUGUUUCCCAGCAUACUUUCAGGAUGAAUGCUAAAGGAUAUAUCCUGAAUCCUCAACAACACGAUUCACAAAAUUUAGAAUAACUAAAACGGACGCGGUGCCUAACAACGACGAACGGAUGUGAUUGUGAGAUGUCUGUAAGAUGUCUGUGAGUGUGGAGUGGAUUUUGUGAGACACUCGGAAACAGAAACAGAAGAAACUUGGAUGAAAAAAUAUAGUGUAUAGUAUUCUUGGGUUAAUUAAAAGUUUGGAACUGAACGGGUUAAAUACACAAAUUAUGAACUUAAACGUGAGAACGAAACGGAACGGAAUGAAACGGAACGGAAUGGAACAGAAACUGUGAACAGUUGAAACUGCUUAACAAAAUUAAAAUUGUUGAACUCCAGGCUCCAGGAAUAAAGUGCUGUAAAUAGAAAUUUUAAUUAUUAGUAAACAGUCGGGGGUAUCUUCUCUUGGAUCCGGCAACGCUCCUUGGCGGCAGAGUUGGUUCAAGAAAUUCUUCAUGUUCGCGGAUAUAGCAACGCCUCUUGGCGUUCGACAACGCUUCGCAUCCUUAUGGUAAAUUACAGUUACGCCGCUUGGCAAAAAAUUAUCAGAAAUCUUUGUGUAUAUACAGACGUGUUUUUUUUUUUUUUUUUUUGGCAGAGAGCAGCUGAAAAUCUUCGCUGAUAUGGCAACGCCUCUUGGCAUUUCACUCCUAAUUGCAUCUUCAUGGUAAAUUACAGUAUUUAGCAGCGGAAAUCUUGCGCGAGUAUGGCAACAUUUUUUGAACUUUAUAAGGGCAGCACCUUUUAGUCAAAUAUUCAGUUUGUAAAUAGAUUUUGAUUGUCUGGCAAGGCAUGGAUUUCUGGACCCCAGGCAGAGGGACGCAGCAGGUGUGAAGGACCAGAAGGGAGCACAGUUUACAGAAGAGAAUCAAGUUUAAUUUGGACAAUUGCUUGGAAAGCUUCGAAAUCGCGGCAGGACUUUGGCAAAAACGGAAUGGAAUGGAAAAUAAGGAGGAAAAAUAAAACUUUGGCUCCGAUUGGCUCCAAGUUUCGCCUAGUUUCGUCUAGAGACAAGCUCAUCUGAAAGAACACAGCAAGGAAAUAGGUUAAUAACGAGGGCCAACUCGCUCUACUGGGGCAUCGCCUAGAAGACGUCGCGCCCGACCAGACCCGGCAAUUGCGCGCGUCCCUCCUUUCCGCCUUGUUUUCAGGCUGACUCUCCUAAAACGCGGUUUUUUCAUUUGAUGUGAUGUGAUGUGCACAAUUGAGCGCCAUUUUUUUGUUUUGUUAUCGAUCUAUCGAAAGCAACGCUUUUGAUGAUUAGCUUUGACUUGGCAAACCAACUGCGCGACUCACACGUGUCGCGAGCAACUGGUUUGCCGUUUUUUCCAUUUCAAUUUUCAUUUUCUGCUCUUUUUUAUUUUUUUUUUUAUCAUAAAUUCAUCGUUUACGGCGCGUUCGAAAACGCGACGAAAACUCUCCUCAAAAUAAAUUUCUUUUUAUUUUUAUUAUUUUUUUUUUUUUUUUUGCAUGCAUUAUUUUUUUUCCUAUUUGAACUCCUGCGCUAAUUGUGCACACCACGUAUAACGUGGACAAUUUUUGUUCCAUUUUAAAUUAUUUGUUUGAUUGAUUUAUUGAUUUACUUUGGCUUUGGCAAAGGCGACGCGGCAAUUGCCCGCAGAGAGGCCGGCGUUACGCCCCGUCUCGAAGUCGGAAAAACUCACCAGGCAGCAGCUUUUAAAAAAGCAUUUUACGGAAAUCACAACUGGGAAACUCGGCUGUAAGCAAAGUACAUAUUAUACGACACACAACUGGUAUGGGAUGGCAUAUGUACAUGGGUAAACCAAGAAUUGAUGACAUUAAAUUAAAGGACAAACGCUGCCAGCUGCGAUUUCAAAGUGGAAAAAACUCGAUUUUAACAAAUAUCGAAUCAAUUUUUGAGGUUAUGGCGUGGUGUAACUGUAUUGUGCUCCGUUAACGGUACAACACGAUUGAAGCUGCGCCCCGGGUCCAUGCAUUAGCUAUUUUUCGUCUCUCUCGCUCUCUUUUAUGUUCUGCUUGAACAUGUUUUCCUUUGAAGGAAUUUUAGGCAAUUUCUUUCUCUGCACUUCUUCUCACUCUUCCUUUCUCGCUCUCUUUUAUGUUCUGCUUGAACACGUCGUUAGCACUCUUCUCCCUCUCCUUCUUUCCAUCUCUCUCUCUCUCUCUCUCUCUUUUGUGGGUUUCUUCAAAACGUUUGCAUCUGCGAUUUUUCAGGAAUUUCAGGAUUGUCAACUUAUCGCUUUGCAUUUUUCUCCCUCUCUCUGGCUCUCUGCCUGCUUCACCAUGCGACAGUCGCCCCAGCGACACGGCCUAAACAAAAUAGAAGGCAAAAACCAACUAAGGAAUACUCUGCCUAAAGACGGACGCUGGAUCGGACGCAAUGUUGCUGCACAAUAUUCGGACGUAGUCAUGCCAAAUGGGAUGCGGCUUGAUGGAUUAGUGUGUGAAUUACGAUGACAUUUUUUGCGUCUUAUGCGUUUAAUAAUUGAUCGAUUAUGUGGGUUAACGGCACUUGGCGGCCAUUUUGUUAAGUAUAUAUGUAUAUAAUCAUAUUGAACUGCGAGUCAUGUGCUCGGCUGGUUUUUAGGGAAGCUUGAGCCCAACGCAGCCUGGCGCCGAGCUGUGCGCCUGCCUCGGUUGUGCGGGGGCUUGUGCUGGCGGGGGAAACGCGCGCGGCAUGGGGGGGUACUCGACCCGCAAAUUAUAUUGUUAUACACACUUUGCAGCAUGUAACUGUAAUCGUUUAUGUGUUUUGUAUUGCUUUCGCGUUCUUAUCGAUGGGGCUCCGCUAUUGCGUUUGGGUGCAUAGGGCCGUCCCGCUCUGACGCUCGUUGCCGCCGCCACGCGCCAAGCGAGAUGGACAUAUGUCUGUUGCGUUGUUCGAGAGGAACGCGCUCUCUGUGCUCUUUGCUCUUUUUCGCCAUCUCACUCGCAUCCGUGUGCUGCCGCGCACACUCGCGAUAGAAGUAUGUGGUUACGCUUCGUCUCGCUUUCGUUGUGUGUGCGGCUCCAAACGGACACGAUUCGAUGUGCUUAUCUAUUGUCCAUUUGUCCACCUCGCUCGCCGCGCCCUUCCAUCCAAGAGCGUAAUUAGUUCUCCCCCCUUUGGCCUAGGGGCACCCGCCCGCAAUCGCAGAGUGUGAUUGAUCUGAGCCCGCAGCAGCCGCACACGCCCCGCACGCGCCUUCCUUUCGCUGAGCGGAGGAGUUGCCAACCCUCUCACGGAAAGAAGAGGCACCACAAGCCCCCAACCGGGACAUACUCACCCGCGGCACCCGCCCGUUGGGAUUUGCUUUAAUGCUUCUUUCAGCGCUUCUUGCAGCUCCGUUUAUCGGUUUGAUGGAUCAAUGGAUACGAUGACACACAAGGCGGGCUGAUGCAGGCACAUGGAUUGAUUAUACAUCGAAUAUUGCGCACUUUGCAGCUCGGAAAGCAGUUGACGCAGGCCCUGGGUACAGUUGCCAGGCAAAAGAAA
rnacentral:sRNA from 1 species